UCCCUUGUUCUUCUGCACCUAAGUCUGUUGAUUAUAUUUUCAUAGAGUGCUCGUUUGCUACUCAUAUCUAGUCUCUAUUCAUGCAUCCUGGCUUGUUGUUCAUUUGCCCAAAAUUUACCGUUCGAUAUGUUGGAGCUAACUUGUCUUGUUAUUUAGUUUUUGAGGAAGGAAAUGAAAUAAUAUGAUCAAAGCGAUUCUCCCCAUAGUUUAUUUUCUCACAAGAGGUAUCUGUUCACACAGGCGAUAUAGUACCACCAGCAAAAUGUUUCCAACCAGGUUCAGAAGAGGCCUUGCUUAGGAGUUUGGUGGUUGGUG
rnacentral:lncRNA from 1 species